rnacentral:rRNA from 1 species
UGGGGAAUUUUGGACAAUGGGCGCAAGCCUGAUCCAGCAAUGCCGCGUGCAGGAUGAAGGCCUUCGGGUUGUAAACUGCUUUUGUACGGAGCGAAAAGGUCUGCCCUAAUACGGUGGGCUCAUGACGGUACCGUAAGAAUAAGCACCGGCUAACUACGUGCCAGCAGCCGCGGUAAUACGUAGGGUGCGAGCGUUAAUCGGAAUUACUGGGCGUAAAGCGUGCGCAGGCGGUUAUAUAAGACAGAUGUGAAAUCCCCGGGCUCAACCUGGGACCUGCAUUUGUGACUGUAUAGCUAGAGUACGGUAGAAGGGGAUGGAAUUCCACGUGUAGCAGUGAAAUGCGUAGAUAUGCGGAGGAACACCGAUGGCGAAGGCAAUCCCCUGGACCUGUACUGACGCUCAUGCACGAAAGCGUGGGGAGCAAACA